CAAUGGAGGUCACUCCACUGUCACUACAAAUUCCGGGAAGGAAACUUCCCCAGAUUCCUCCACUUGGAGGUGGCGCUCGGCCUCAGGCUAGGAGGGAACAGGUGAGAAAGCAGCCCAGGUGGGGUGGGUUUGCAGCGAGGAGACACCCCAGGGCAAACAGCCUGACCCCAGCCAGGGAUGUCCAAGAAAGGCCGCGACUCCUGAUAAUCCCUUAUGCCCCGGGGCGCCUCGCCUGCAGAGGCAGCGUCCCCGCCACCCAGCCCCGGCUCUGCCGCGGUGAGGACCUGCGGGUCGGGGUGGACUGGACACUGUCCCACCCAUCAAAUUGUGAUUGAGGAGCCGUGACAUCCGAAUGCCAUCCUCCACUGGCGAGACCCUCAGAGCAGCCACGCCCCUAGCGACUGCCCCGCCACCCGAGGCCGGAGGUCGCGCGACUCACCCAAAGACUGGUGUUUCAGGCGCUCCACGGAGCAGGUUGUUUGUCAGCAGCCAAGUGCUGUCAGGGUUCCCGGCUCUGGCGUCCGUAGGCGGCUACGGGAAGCCGCAGGAGUCAGUCCUCGUUCACUUCCCGGCUCGCGCGCCUUACUGCUGUGGUUUCCCCACCCUCCCCGCGCCCCGCCUUCUGUGUAUGGGGCGUCCCUGGCGGCUCUGCUGGAUUUUGGACAGGGACCCGCCGCUGAUCGCCACCCAGCUCGGCCUCCUGCACAGCCUCUGGAGCCUUGGACCGCGACUGGCUUGCUGUGGGACGAGCACAGAGGGAUAAGGACAAAGAAUGUGUCCUGGGUGGAUCUGGCUGCCUUUGCCCCGAAGGCGGAGUGGGGUGGGAGGUGGUUGGAAAAUGGGAAGGAAAGAAGAGAAAGGCUUUGUCUUCCGCAGCAAGUGGGCCGACGUCCACCUGGCUGUUCCAGGCCUCCAGGUCUAGGAGGGAGGGCGCUCGGGGCUGGGACUUUUCAGGACCAGGGUGGUCACCGCACAGGCCCCGCCUGCCUGGACCAAGCGCUGGCCUUCCCGGGGCGCCCAGGUCCACGGGGUCAAUGCCAGGGUUUUCUCAGCUUCCUCGUCUACCUCGGAUCGAAGUCCAGACAGUGCCAGAAGAGACUUGGAGGCGCUGCUUUUUGACAGUACACACCUCUGUAUGCAGGUGAAACGGUGGGGGAAGGGUUCAGUACGCUGGACUGUGCCCAGCCCAAGCUCCCCAUCCGUUAGUGAUAACUUGGACUUGCAGCCACUCCGCGUCACUCGCCAGUUAUCCUGCGUGUCGGUGUUUUCUCCAAAUUGGACACUUAGGGAACAGUUUAAGCAGUAUGGAGCACAAUUCUGUGCCUAUUAGAUGCUCUUAAAUACCCGACUUCUCAGGGCCCUGCACUGACUGAUAGUUUGACCUAUUGGCUGUAAACACACCAGCCAGAAAUACAAAUAAAGUUAAACAAAGUCAUGUCAGCCACUUGG
rnacentral:antisense_RNA from 1 species